GAUGAACGCUGACAGAAUGCUUAACACAUGCAAGUCUUUGGCGAAGCUGUGCUUGCACAGCCUGGCCACGGCGGACGGGUGAGUAACGCGUAAGGAACUUGCCCUGCAGUCAGGGAUAACAGACGGAAACGACUGAUAAGACCUGGUAAAGUCAGGCGGACUCAUGUCCAGCCUGAUGAAAAGAGAUGCUGCAGGAGAGCCUUGCGUCCUAUUAGCUUGUUGGUGGGGUAACGGCCCACCAAGGCGAUGAUAGGUAGCCGGCCUGAGAGGGUGGACGGCCACAAGGGGACUGAGAUACGGCCCUUACUCCUACGGGAGGCAGCAGUGGGGAAUAUUGGACAAUGGGGGCAACCCUGAUCCAGCAAUUCUGUGUGCACGAUGAAGGUUUUCGGAUUGUAAAGUGCUUUCAGCAGGGAAGAAAAAAAUGACGGUACCUGCAGAAGAAGCGACGGCUAAAUACGUG
rnacentral:rRNA from 1 species